AGAGUUUGAUCCUGGCUCAGGAUGAACGCUGGCGGCGUGCUUAACACAUGCAAGUCGAACGAACCUUCGGGUUAGUGGCGGACGGGUGAGUAACGCGUGAGAAUCUGCCCUCAGGAGGGGGAUAACGGCUGGAAACGGCCGCUAAUACCCCAUAUGCCGAGAGGUGAAAUGAAUUUCGCCUGAGGAUGAGCUCGCGUCUGAUUAGCUAGUUGGUAAGGUAAGAGCUUACCAAGGCAUCGAUCAGUAGCUGGUCUGAGAGGAUGAUCAGCCACACUGGGACUGAGACACGGCCCAGACUCCUACGGGAGGCAGCAGAGGGGAAUUUUCCGCAAUGGGCGAAAGCCUGACGGAGCAACGCCGCGUGAGGGAUGAAGGCCUCUGGGCUGUAAACCUCUUUUCUCAAGGAAGAAGACAUGACGGUACUUGAGGAAUAAGCCACGGCUAAUUCCGUGCCAGCAGCCGCGGUAAUACGGGAGUGGCAAGCGUUAUCCGGAAUUAUUGGGCGUAAAGCGUCCGCAGGCGGCCUUUUAAGUCUGUUGUUAAAGCGUGGAGCUCAACUCCAUUUCGGCAAUGGAAACUGGGAGGCUGGAGUGUGGUAGGGGCAGAGGGAAUUCCCGGUGUAGCGGUGAAAUGCGUAGAUAUCGGGAAGAACACCAGUGGCGAAGGCGCUCUGCUGGGCCAUAACUGACGCUCAUGGACGAAAGCCAGGGGAGCGAAAGGGAUUAGAUACCCCUGUAGUCCUGGCCGUAAACGAUGAACACUAGGUGUCGGGGGAAUCGACCCCCUCGGUGUCGUAGCCAACGCGUUAAGUGUUCCGCCUGGGGAGUACGCACGCAAGUGUGAAACUCAAAGGAAUUGACGGGGGCCCGCACAAGCGGUGGAGUAUGUGGUUUAAUUCGAUGCAACGCGAAGAACCUUACCAGGGUUUGACAUCCUGCGAAUCCCUUGGAAACUAGGGAGUGCCUUCGGGAGCGCAGAGACAGGUGGUGCAUGGCUGUCGUCAGCUCGUGUCGUGAGAUGUUGGGUUAAGUCCCGCAACGAGCGCAACCCACGUCUUUAGUUGCCAGCAUUUAGUUGGGCACUCUAGAGAGACCGCCGGUGAUAAACCGGAGGAAGGUGUGGAUGACGUCAAGUCAUCAUGCCCCUUACAUCCUGGGCUACACACGUACUACAAUGCUACGGACAAAGGGCAGCAAACUCGCGAGAGCUAGCAAAUCCCAUAAACCGUGGCCCAGUUCAGAUCGUAGGCUGCAACUCGCCUACGUGAAGGAGGAAUCGCUAGUAAUCGCAGGUCAGCAUACUGCGGUGAAUACGUUCCCGGGCCUUGUACACACCGCCCGUCACACCAUGGAAGUUGGCCACGCCCGAAGCCGUUACUCCAACCCUUGUGGAGGAGGACGUCGAAGGUGGGGCUGAUGACUGGGGUGAAGUCGUAACAAGGUA
rnacentral:rRNA from 1 species